CAUUUCUGCAUCUGUUCCUGCACCAAAUGUGAUAUGUAAUUCUAUGUUUCCUGUUGAAGAUGUGUUUCGACAGAUGGACUUCCCCGGUGAGUCCUCCAAUAAUCAGUCCUUUUUCCCAGUUGAGAGUGGAACUAAGAUGCCAGGCUUACACAUUACAGGAA
rnacentral:miRNA from 1 species